GUUGGAAAACGGUGGGUAGCUUUCCAGUUGCCGUUAAUUUAGAAAAUAAGCAAAACGUGUUGAAAAAAUAAAACCCUGCCAGAUGGAGCUAACACCCAUUAUGGAGAUUAACCACUUUUCAUCAGGUUUUUAACUUAAGUCGUGAGGAAUACAACGGUGAACACAAGAUUCAUUUUAUUUUCAUCACCAUGGGACGUAUCCUGUUGUUGAGUUCUCUGGGUCAGACCUCUGAAGACUUCUCAGAUGGAUCCUAGUCUCUGGGCUUGCCCUGAAAUUACUCGCUGCUCAGGGAGAGAGUUGAAAUGGUUAGUCUUGUUCAAAGUCAACUCAUCUAAGACACUUCGCAGGCCCUUGCUAUCAGCCUCAACACAGUGAUAAAGGACAACUUUACUCUGGCAUCUGAACAGAGCCCAAUUGGAAGAAUCAAUACAGCUUAGAUGGAGGUCUCCUCAUCCAGUGGUAAUAAAACAUCCCACAUAGUGGAGCUUAGAGAGCACAGCACUGGGAUGUGAAGACAUGGGUUCAAAUUGCACCUCUGCCAUGUUCAGCUGUCACCUUGGGCAAAUUACUUCUCUGAACCUUAGUUUUCUCAUCAUUAAAAUGGGAAUAUU
ensembl:lncRNA KRT10-AS1 KRT10 antisense RNA 1